rnacentral:rRNA from 1 species
GACGAACGCUGGCGGCGUGCUUAACACAUGCAAGUCGAGCGAUGAAGCACCUUCGGGUGUGAAUUAGCGGCGAACGGGUGAGGAACACGUGAGAAAUCUGCCUUCAACACUGGGAUAACUCCGGGAAACCGGGGCUAAUACCGGAUAUGAAACCUGCGGGCAUCCGCGGGUUUGGAAAGUUUUUCGGUUGAAGAUGAUCCCGCGGCCUAUCAGCUUGUUGGUGAGGUAAUGGCUCACCAAGGCGACGACGGGUAGCCGGCCUGAGAGGGCGACCGGCCCCACAGGGACUGAGACACGGCCCAGACUCCUACGGGAGGCAGCAGUGGGGAAUAUUGGGCAAUGGAGGAAACUCUGACCCAGCGACGCCGCGUGCGGGAUGAAGGCCUUCGGGUUGUAAACCGCUUUCAGCAGGGAAGAAGCGAAAGUGACGGUACCUGCAGAAGAAGCACCGGCUAACUAUGUGCCAGCAGCCGCGGUAA